GGCUAAAGAUGGUGGGAACCGAAGUGACACCGGUGAGUGCUGGGGACGAGGUUGGUACAAGCAUGGAACGCACGAUGUACCCAGGUUCAGGGCUCUCCGUAGAGAUAACACCCCUAAUCCUGCCAGAGUGUAUAAUGCACCAAUGAAGUUACAAUGUGCUCCUGGAGCUGUUCUACGGAGGAGGAAGAAGGAGCAGCCGGCUCGCGUCUACCUCUCCUGUAUGAGUGUGUGUAUGAAGGAUUGACUAACCCUCUGCAUGGAGGGGGUCGGGGGGUUUUAUAGACAAACCCACCGACCUACAAUAAGGAUAAAAGUACAUGAGUGGGGCCCGGCUGGCAGCCUCGCUGGCUGGCCAGGGGGCCCACGAGGGCCUUGUCUUGUCGCAGGAGGGGCCGACCGGAUGCGAGGUCCCAUCUGGCUAUGGGACCCGCCGGCUAGCCAGUAAGGCUCUCGCGUAAGGCCUAUGUAGGACACUUGUAGUACGUCCGGCGUCGUCUUGCGAGAUUCGUCAUGGGGUGCCAGUACGACCGUCUCCAUUGUUCCCACGCCAAGUGUGAUAAUGGAGUGGGAGUUUGACGAGCCAACACUAUGCAGGAUGAUGUAUCGGAGCCGGAGUAGGUCGCCUUCCCUUCACCACCUCGGUGCAGGACUUUGCCGACCGCUUCCAGACGUUGGCAUGCCAUGCGCCUGACGUCACGGCUCGCCAACGCGCUGAGCUCUUCGUCGGCGGCCUUCCCGACCACAUCCGCAUCGACGUCGAGAUGCGCGACCCCCAGGACCUGCAGACGACCAUGUAUUACGCACGCGCGUACGAGCAGCGCGCCAACGCCCUGCAGCAGGCGUUCCCGGACCGCGGCACGCGUCCCCCGACCCGCCCCGCCCCGGCGGCCGCCACCCCGACACGCCCCGCCCUGCCGGCNCCGCUACUGCGGCUGCCCCCGCGCCGACACGCACCUUCCGGUGCUUGACGUCGGCCGAGCAGCUCGAGUGGCGCCGCAAGGGCCUGUGCUUCAACUACGACGAGCCGUAUGCGCCGGGUCAUACGUGCGCCCGCCUGUUCUACUUGGAGACCGUCGACGACGCGGAGGUGGAGGCCCUCACCGCGGAGCUCGACGCCACCACACUCCGAGGCCGGCGUCAUGACCUACGGGCCGGUCGACGCGACCGCCUUUGUCGUCUCCCUUCAUGCCAUGGCUGGCAUCAAGACGGCAAAGACGAUGCUGCUUCCGGUGACGAUCAACGGGGAGCGUCUCACCGCGCUCGUGGACACGGGUUCGACGCACAACUUCCUGUCCGGGGACGCCAUGCGCCGCCUCGCACUCCAACCGGCGGGCUCGUAGAAGUUCAGCGUCACCGUCGCCAACGGGGACCGCCUUGCUUGCCAGGGGGUGGCGCGGCAGGUUCCCGUCCUCAUCGGCGACGAGCCGUUCUCCAUUGACUGCGUCGGCAUCGACCUGGGCUGCUACGACUUCAUCCUCGGCGUCGACUUCCUGUCCACUCUCGGCCCCAUCCUUUGGGACCUCGAUGUGCUGUCCCUCAUCUUCUGGCGCGAGGGCGGCCGUCGCGUUCAGUGGACAGGCAUCGGCGGCUCCGGCGCCGUGACUCCGCAGCUCCAGUUGAUGGCGGCCGCACUGGACGAGGCGCAUCCCCUCCUGGCCGACCUCCUGCAGCAGCACAGCGACAUCUUCGACGAGCCACAGGGCCUCCCUCCCGCGCGGCCCUGUGACCACCGCAUCCACCUGCUGCCGGACACGGCACCUGUAGCCGUGCGUCCAUACCGGUACCCUCAGCUGCAGAAAGACGAGCCCGAGCGUCAGGUGGCGGUCAUGCUCGCGCAGGGCAUCAUCCGGAUUUCGACAUCGCCGUCCUCCGCCCCGGUGCUCCUUGUGCACAAGCCCGACGGCACAUGGCGCUUCUGCAUCGACUACCGUGCCCUCAACGCCCUGACGUCCAAGGACAAGUUCCCCAUCCCCGUCGUGGAUGAGCUCUUAGACGAGCUACACGGAGCGCGCUCCUUCACCAAGCUCGACCUUCGCUCGGGCUACCAUCAGGUGCGCAUGCACCCUGACGACAUCGAGAAGACGGCGUUCCGCACUCACCAUGGCCACUUCGAGUUCCUGGUGAUGCCGUUCGGCCUCUCCAACGCGGCGGCGACCUUCCAGGCCCUGAUGAACGACGUGCUCAGCCCAUACUUGCGCCGCUUUGUGCUUGUUUUCUUUGAUGACAUUCUUAUCUACAGUGCAUCUUGGGCGGAGCACCUACAACACGUGGCCAUCAUCUUCAACAAGCUUCGAGCGCAUCGUCUUCACCUCAAGCGCUCGAAGUGCUCGUUCGGCACGACCUCCGUCGCGUACCUGGGGCACGUUAUCUCGGCGGACGGGGUAGCGAUGGACGCGGACAAGGUCGCCGCCGUCGCCGCGUGGCCGAUCCCGCCGUCGCCGCGUGGCCGAUCCCGCCGUCACCGUGGGCGCUCCGCGGCUUCUUGGGCCUCGCCGGCUACUACCGGAAGUACAUCCGGGACUUCGGCCUCAUCGCCGCGCCACUGACGCGUCUCCUUCGACGGGACGCCUUCUCCUGGGACGAGGAGGCGACUACGGCAUUCGAGGCUCUCCAGCGGGCGCUCACGACGGGACCCGUCCUCCAGAUGCCGGACUUUGAUAUGCCGUUCAUGGUGGACUACGACGCCUCUGGCAUCGGCUUCGGCGCCGUCCUCCACCAGGGCGAGGGACCGCUCGCCUUCUUCAGCCGCCCCUUCGCCGCUCGCCAUCACAAGCUCGUGGCCUACGAGCGCGAGCUUAUUGGGCUGGUUCAGGCGGUGCGCCACUGGCGGCCUUAUCUUUGGGGCCGGUCAUUCCGUGUGCGCACGGACCACCAUAGCCUCAAGUUAUUGUUGGACCAGCGCCUCUCCACAGUUCCGCAGCACCAGUGGAUCAGCAAGCUCUUCGGCUUCGACUUCACCGUCGAGUACCGCCCCGGCCGUCUCAACACGGUCGCCGACGCCUUGUCCCGCCGCGACACUGAGGAUGUCGCGGACGACGUCGCCAUGGCUGGCACUAUCAUGUGCAUCCGCUCCGGGCCAUCUUUCGCCUUCAUCGACGACAUUCACCAGGCAACUUCGAUGGCCGUGGACGCGCAGGGCCUGCGCCAGCGCCUUGACGCCGGCGAGCUGGACGCGCCCUGGCGCUUGGACGAGGGGCUGCUCCUACAUGGCCGCCGCAUCUUCGUGCCCGACCAUGGCGACCUGCGCCACCAGGUCCUGACCUUGGCGCACUCUGCAGGGCACGAGGGCGUGCAGAAGGCUCUCCAUCGUCUCCGUGUUGAUUUUUACAUCCCCGGUGAUGGCGCGAUGGUCCGCGACUGGGUGCGGUCGUGCGUGACGUGCCAGCGGAACAAGACGGAGACACUACGACCUGCGGGUCUACUGCAGCCGCUGGACGUACCCUCCCAGGUGUGGGCGGAUAUUUCCAUGGACUUCAUCGAGGGCCUUCCCAAGGUGGGCGGCAAGUCCGUCAUCCUCACGGUGGUUGACCGCUUCUCCAAGUACGCGCACUUCAUCGCCCUGGGUCAUCCAUAUACAGCCGCCUCCGUGGCGCGGGCCUUCUUCGACGGCAUCGUCCGCCUCCAUGGUUUUCCGUCGUCCAUCGUCAGCGAUCGUGAUCCCGUAUUCACGGGACAUGUCUGGCGGGAUCUCUUUCGACUGGCGGGUGUGAGGCUCCGCAUGAGCACGGCGUUCCACCCUGAGACAGACGGCCAAUCCGAGGUGGUCAACAAGGUGAUCGCCAUGUACCUGCGCUGUGUUACUGGUGAUCGUCCACGAGCUUGGGUGGACUGGUUGGCGUGGGCGGAGUACUGCUACGACACCUCCUAUCACUCCGCCCUGCGCACCACGCCUUUCGAGGUGGUCUACGGGCGCCCACCUCCGGCGAUGCUCCCUUACGAGCCUGGGACGGCUUGGUCCGAGAUGGCGGGCGACUUACUCCGCACCCGCGAUGACAUUCUGGCUGAGGCACGCCAGCGUCUUCUCCAAGCACAACAGCUGGCUCGGAAGUACUACGAUGCUCAUCAUCGCGAGGCGGAGUUCGCGGUGGGCGAUUGGGUGUGGCUGCGCCUCCUCCACAGGACCACGCAGUCUCUGGACCCGCGCUCCAAGCGCAAAUUGGGACCUCGCUACGCCGGUCCAUUUCGUGUGCUGGAGCGUGUCGGCACACUCGCAUACCGCUUGGAGCUACCAGCUGGUUCUCGCCUCCACGACGUCUUCCAUGUCGGCUUACUGAAGGCCUACCGUAGGGACCCUCCAUCAGCGACGCUGACCCUUCCUCCUACUUCAGAUGGCCGCCUCCUUCCAGCUUCCACACAGGUGGCGAAGGUGCUGCGGGCGCAGCAGCGUCGCGGCGUCUGGCAUGUCUUGGUACAGUGGACCGGCCUGCCAGAGGAGGAAGCGACUUGGGAGAAGCUCGACGAUUUCCGCCAACAGUUUCCAGAUGUUCAGCUCGAGGACGAGCUGUUUGAGAAGGCGGGGAGAGAUGUUAUGACCGGUACAACGUACCAACGGAGGAGGCCCAAUGGGCAGGGUUAAUUACGGGCUUAGCCCAAGUUAUUUUGCCUAUCUUAGAGUCCAAGUUAUCUAGGGUUUAGUGGAGGUUGUCCUCCUAUAUAAACACAUGUACCCCUUCGAUAUUAAGCAGACAAUAAACAGUAUAUUCUGUUGUCGUCUCCCUCAGGAGACGGGAGCCCCAAACCCUAGCCGCCUCUCUCUCUCUUUCUCACGCCGCGACGGCGCCCAACCGUCGGCGCCGGCGUCCCCAACCUCGCAGCCCGCACUUUCACCCCUACAACCUACGUCCGAGACCUGGUAGAACCCUAGCCUCUACCACUAAGCUAGUGGCCAUGGUUGCCUGGUUUCUAUCAAUGGGUUUUGCUCAUUGUAUGUAAAAUUAUCUUUUGUGAAUAAAUAUACCAGCUCUUUGUAACACCCGGAUGUUUUGUAUAAUACAAGGACAGUAACCUUUUGUCUCAAGCAAGUUCGGGUGGGCUAAAUAUGAAAACCGAUAGAACAUAUGGAAACCAAUAAAAGAAAUCUAUCAGGUUUCAUAUCCGUAAGAGUGUUUAGUUUUACUUUCGCUCGCCAAGCCUAUCAUAACUUUCCUCUUUUACUCAGGCUUGGGAGGGCUAUGGCUUAAAAGACAUAGGCGGAGUUAGACUUUUCUAUUUGUUACAACUCAUAACAAAUUUAUAAGAGUUUUAUUCCAUGGUUUGUUUUAUUUUUCCUUCUACAGCUGGCCAUUGACACUUGGAAAAUCUUAUUGUUGGUCUGGAUGAUCCAUUCUCGGAUCUGUACACAUGGUGUCGCUUUGUUGGGAAGCGACAAAACACAUAAUGUUUACCAUUUUAUUGGACUCACCACUUGCUACAUAUCUGCCUCCGCACUGAAUUUUUGCUCAUAGCAUUCAUGAUUUGGAUUUCUGUGAACGAUUUUGGAAGAGAACAUAUUUUUGACAAAUGAUGUGUGAUGCAUAGUUCUGCGCACCUAUCCCUUACUUAGAAAAAUAAAUAGAAGUGCCUGCUUUUGCAUGCACUGUCGAGUGUGUAUAGAUGGCAGAAUAGUUGUAGGCUUGCCUUCUACUAAUCUGUUUCAUUUACACUGUAGGUGGCACAUCUAUAAGUACCCAGAUUAUGGCAUGCUGAUAUUACGGUGAUAUUAAUACAUUGGAAAAUCUGGAAAGAACGCAAUGUCAGGAUAUUAUUAACACAGAGUUUGUUGUUGACAGGGUGUUGGAAUCUGUCAUUGAAGAUGUUCAAUCAUGGAGAGCUGUAGGCUGCUUGUCUUCUUUAUGAAUCAUGUUCCUGUUGUUUUCUCCUUGCUGGGAGUGUAUUAGGAGAGUCGUGUAAUCAGAUGCUCUGUGAGGCUAUGUAUAGAGUUUCAGCUACGUUUUCUUGAGUGGCAACCAUGUAAUUUCCAAACUCAUUUUCUUAGAGAUGGUCCUGUACAUUCGUCUCCCAAUUUUUUAAAUAAAGUUCAGCCUCAGGACCUUCGAGAUAAGCUUAGCCCCCAUGUUAAUGAAGUAAUGUUGUGUUCUUAUGUUAUGGUUACUGUCAAAAUUUCAGUUGGCACUGAAAUAGAAAAUUAUCCAAUAAUUAUGAUGUAAUUCCGGUUAUGAUACCUCAAAAAUAUAUUGUAAAAUGAUAUUUUUACUGCAUCAAAUCCAUGGUGCCUCACGGAAGUCUAGAAAAACUCGGCGAAAAGUAGAGAAAAAACAGAACAAUAGCUGCUUGGCCAAACGUGGCAGGGCCCUCAAAUGGAGAAGCACCCUCGCACCAGACCGACCGGGUGAGCGGAUGAAGGAUGACAUCGACUAGGGAGUCGCAUCUAUCUGUCACAUCCCCUGGAUUCCCUAUUAGGAUUUAGCAAGUUGUACUCAUGUCUUCUUUCAUUGCAUUCAAGAAAUGGAAAUGAACUCAAAGAAAAUGGGGGAAUCAAAGCAAAACCAUAGCCA
rnacentral:lncRNA from 1 species